rnacentral:tRNA from 1 species
UGAGAAUCGUUAAUUUGGGCUGCUAACUUAAAUUAGGGGUGCACUUCACUCCAUUCUCAU